rnacentral:tRNA from 1 species
GCGGAUGUAGCCAAGUGGAUCAAGGCAGUGGAUUGUGAAUCCACCAUGCGCGGGUUCAAUUCCCG